AAAUGAGACUCGGCCUCAGGGUGGCAACACCCUGGAGUCGUAAACCUCCACCCUUGUGUAUCAUUCAAUUGUUGCUUUGGUGGGCCGCGAACCUAACGGUGAGCACCGGCCUCGGCUGGAGAGCGCCUGCCAGAGGACCCAACUCUGUAUUUUGUAACAUCUGAGUACUAUAAAAUAGUUA
rnacentral:misc_RNA from 1 species